rnacentral:rRNA from 1 species
UACGUAGGGUGCGAGCGUUGUCCGGAAUUACUGGGCGUAAAGAGCUCGUAGGUGGUUUGUCGCGUUGUUCGUGAAAUCUCACAACUCAAUUGUGGGCGUGCGGGCGAUACGGGCAGACUGGAGUACUGCAGGGGAGACUGGAAUUCCUGGUGUAGCGGUGGAAUGCGCAGAUAUCAGGAGGAACACCGGUGGCGAAGGCGGGUCUCUGGGCAGUUCCUGACGCUGAGGCACGAAGGCCAGGGGAGCAAACGGG